UACAGAGGGUGCAAGCGUUGUUCGGAAUUAUUGGGCGUAAAGCGCGUGUAGGCGGCUUGUUAUGUCGGGUGUGAAAGCCCUCAGCUUAACUGAGGAAGUGCGCCCGAAACUGGCGAGCUUGAGUGCCGGAGAGGAUAGCGGAACACCCGGUGUAGAGGUGAAAAUUCGUAGAUAUCGGGUAGAACACCAGUGGCGAAGGCGGCUAUCUGGACAGAUACUGACGCUGAGGCGCGAGAGCGUGGGGGAGCAAACAGGG
rnacentral:rRNA from 1 species